ACUCUCCUAGGUGCUUGAUCCAUGUUUGUGAGUGAAGAACUGGCAAUGUCCUGAACCGCAUGCUAGAAAUCAUAGAACCGAUGUUUACUGAAGAUAUUCUCUGUCCUAAACGUUUUGCACACUUUCUCUCAUACAGUCCUUGAGCCAUCCCUGGGAGACAGGAACUAGCACGUCUGUUAUCAGCAUUUUCAUUUUAUGGAUUUGGAAGUUGAGCCUCGCAAGAGGAAACAGACUUGUCCACAACCGAGGAACAUGGCAACCUCAGAACAGAGAGGAGUCUUUCCCGCAACCCAGCCCUCUCUGGACACCUUGAGCUCACCCUGCUGCCGCAUGCCGCUUCCUGCAUUGUCACCCUCCCUUCCUGUGAGUCGGAGCACUUCAUCUUCACCAGGUUCUGGGGGGCCGGCUGCCCCCGGGACGUGUCAGGGUAGGGAGUGAGGACUGGACCAUCCCUGCAGGGGGCCGUGCCGAUCGCUGGGCUUUGGGGAAGUGGAGCGUUCCCGGGGGCAAACCAGGAAGACAGUGGAAGGCUGUAGCGUGUCAGGCCUACAGCGUCACCACAUCCAUAACAUUGCCGCUGGGAUUAUGUUUCCUACGGAUAACUAGUAAAGGGGCUUAGGGCUUUGUGCUCAGUGGCUCAAGGCCGUAUUGGGAUGACACUUAAUGAACAAGCAUCGGGACAGGAUCAAGAGGAAGAAAGAAGAAUCUGCAUAAAUUGUGAGGAAGGAGCCUGGAUUCAUGGAGGUUGUGAAACUGGGGAUUUGUACUAUGGGUAAUGCUUGUCUAUCUUUCCACUGAACUGUAAGUUCCUUGGGGGUGUGAGGUGUGGAUUAUUCAUCUCCAGAUGCCCAGGGCCCAACUUAAUACCUCGUGUAUAGCACACAGGGCUCAGUGAAUACUUAUUGGGCGUAUGGGUGGAUGGAUGGAGGAAUGAAUGGAGGGAUGAAAGGAAGGAAGGAUGGAUAAGUGGAUGGAUGGAUAAGUGGAUGGAUGGAUGGAAGGGUGGAUAAAUGGAUGGAUGCAUGGAAGGAUGGAUAAAUGGAUGGAUGCAUGGAAGGAUGGAUAAAUGGAAGGAUGGGUAAAUGGAUGGAUGGAUAAAUGGAUGGAUGCAUGGAAGGAUGGAUAAAUGGAUGGAUGGAUGGUUAGUUUUUCUAAGGAGGCAGCCUGCAGUCAUCUGCCUUAGGUGCCCUUUCUUAUCCUGCCCUGCUCCCUUCCUCAGCCGGCUGCCCUGGACUCAUCCUUCAUAACACAGCAUCUGGGGCUGAGGGAGCAGUAUAAGCAAAGGCCUGUAAGUAAGAGGGGGCAAGGCCAGUUGGGAAACCGUAGGAAGGUGUGUGUGCUUGGAAAGCACAUUUCAAAGGAGAGAGCAGGGGUGGGUGACGCAACUGGAGACUUAAUCAGGGGUAAGAUUCUCGAGAGUCCCUUGGAUUGCAAGGAG
rnacentral:lncRNA from 1 species